UACGUAGGGGGCAAGCGUUGUCCGGAUUUAUUGGGCGUAAAGAGCGUGUAGGCGGCUUUGCAAGUCCGUUGUGAAAACUCGAGGCUCAACCUCGAGACGCCGGUGGAAACUGCAAAGCUAGAGUCCGGAAGAGGAGGGUGGAAUUCCUGGUGUAGCGGUGAAAUGCGCAGAUAUCAGGAAGAACACCCGUGGCGAAGGCGGCUCUCUGGGACGGUACUGACGCUGAGACGCGAAAGCGUGGGGAGCGAACGGG
rnacentral:rRNA from 1 species